rnacentral:rRNA from 1 species
UACAGAGGGUGCAAGCGUUAAUCGGAAUUACUGGGCGUAAAGGGUGCGUAGGUGGCUCUAUAAGUAUGGUGUGAAAUCUCCCGGCUUAACUGGGAGGGUGCGCCGUAGACUGUGGGGCUAGAGUGUGGGAGAGGAAAGUGGAAUUCCUGGUGUAGCGGUGAAAUGCGUAGAUAUCAGGAAGAACACCCGUGGCGAAGGCGGCUCUCUGGGACGGUACUGACGCUGAGACGCGAAAGCGUGGGGAGCGAACAGG